UGGGGAAUAUUGGACAAUGGGCGCAAGCCUGAUCCAGCCAUGCCGCGUGAGUGAUGAAGGCCCUAGGGUUGUAAAGCUCUUUCACCGGUGAAGAUAAUGACGGUAACCGGAGAAGAAGCCCCGGCUAACUUCGUGCCAGCAGCCGCGGUAAUACGAAGGGGGCUAGCGUUGUUCGGAUUUACUGGGCGUAAAGCGCACGUAGGCGGAUUUUUAAGUCAGGGGUGAAAUCCCGGGGCUCAACCCCGGAACUGCCUUUGAUACUGGAAGUCUUGAGUAUGGUAGAGGUGAGUGGAAUUCCGAGUGUAGAGGUGAAAUUCGUAGAUAUUCGGGGGAACACCAGUGGCGAAGGCGGCUCACUGGACCAUUACUGACGCUGAGGUGCGAAAGCGUGGGGAGCAAACAGG
rnacentral:rRNA from 1 species